rnacentral:rRNA from 1 species
UACGGAGGGUGCGAGCGUUAAUCGGAAUCACUGGGCGUAAAGCGCGCGUAGGCGGCUUUUCAAGUCAGGGGUGAAAUCCCACGGCCCAACCGUGGAACUGCCUUUGAAACUGUAGAGCUUGAGUGUCGGAGAGGGUGGCGGAAUUCCAGGUGUAGGAGUGAAAUCCGUAGAUAUAUGGAAGAACACCAGUGGCGAAAGCGGCUCUCUGGUCUGCAACUGACGCUGAGGUUCGAAAGCGUGGGUAGCAAACAGG